UACGGAGGAUCCAAGCGUUAUCCGGAUUUAUGGGUUAAAGGGUGCGUAGGCGGUUUAUUAAGUCAGGGGUGAAAGACGGCAGCUUAACUGUCGACAGUGCCUUUGAUAUGAUGAACUUGAAUGUACUAGAAGUAGGCGGAAUGUGACAAGUAGCGGUGAAAUGCAUAGAUAUGUCACAGAACACCGAUUGCGAAGGCAGCUUACUAUGGUAUUAUUGACGCUGAGGCACGAAAGCGUGGGGAUCAAACAGG
rnacentral:rRNA from 1 species